GAUAUGAGUCAAUCUUUGUGGCUUUCUGUGCUCAAAGCUUUAUAAUAGUAUAUUUACUUUUAAACAUGAGUUAUUAUAGCUAGAAUUUUCAGUUCAUGUUUCACAUGCAUUAUUUGUCUUUAUGAUUUUAAUUGUAAUUUAAAAUGUGAAAAUUUUAGUUGUCCUCCAUCAUUCUCCCUGAGGAGUCGAGUUACGGUGACUUUGUAUCUUCUACAAGAGACGCAUAAGAGCAAGUUAAAAAAACUGUCGAGGAAAAUAUGGCAAAGUCCCAAGACUUACAAAAGGAAGCCUAUACCAGACGAGUCCAGAAGAAGUACAGAAACCUUGUGUACAACGUUGGAGAUGAAGUUCUUCUCUUGAACAUGAGGAAACGUGGAAGGAAGGGAGCAAGGUUUGAUCCGGAUUUUUCAGGACCCUACACCAUUCAAGACAUCGCUGGCAAAUGUGUGAGAUUAAAAAACACGGAAGGAGCCACUUUAAAAAAUCACUACAGCAUUGACCAUAUCAAGCCGUACAGAAGAAGCCACCAUGUAAAUAUCAGUGACAAUGAAAAAUACCCAACUCACAGUCAGACAGUGAACAGCAGCACAGACCUGAAGAUGCCCCCCUGCCAUCCUCCUGCUGACCCUCAGUGCCAGCAAAGUCCAGAGGAUACCAGACCCUCUAUUAUUCAUUAUGCACCCAAAACGGCUGACAAAAGUUGUUGCUCCCACAAGGAGUUUAUUUCUGUUCCAGGACCAGAAACGCGUGAACAAGAACUUCCCUCCCGGAAACAAAGCUUAGAAAGUGAAGGUGGCAUAGUGAACAACUCUUUUUGACCCGUUGGUCAUUUGUUGCCAGUUUGGCGUUGCAACUUGAUUGACCGUUGCAUGACUUUGUUUGCAUUUUGCAGUCUUCAACUCAUAUUGGAUGUAAAGAAACAUGCAACAUGCACUGAGCUUGUGGAAGUCUGGAAAUGGAUCUGCCUUAAAGAGGCUAUGGGCUGCAAAGGAUACUGGGCGCUUGGAGUCAGUUGUUGGACCAUACAAGUUAUUUGAUUCCUCUUUUCGAACACUGCAGGGGUCACGGUGGCUUUCUGAUGAGGUCAUUGAUGCAUACCUGCACCGUGUUAUUGAGAGACGAAAGAAUGCUGUACACCUGCUCUGUUCAGUAGUUGCAAGCUCGUUGUUUUCUGGGCAGUUCAGAUGCCUCACCAAGAUGAAGUUCCCAGUUGAAGACAUGUGGCUGUGCCCUGUGAACUUUGGUACACACUGGAUUCUUGUGAUUGUCAACAUUUCUGCACAGAAAAUACUACUCAUAGACCCCAUGGGCACUGAAGGUGUUUAUGACAGGAAAAUUCUGCGCAACCGGAGGAAUUUUCUGAGGAUGAGAGAAGACACCAUGGAGUGGCAGUUACACACUAUGCAACACAACAAGCAACAGGAUUCCAGCAGUUGCGGAGUUUUGCUGUUAAAGUUUGCAGAACAGUACCUUGCUUUUGGAGAGGUCAGUGAGGUGUUAACCACUACAGAAGCAGUUGUGCUGGAGCGAAUGCAGAUAGCUUGCACCCUACUUGAACAUUGAGGGAACGCUGAGGACUACUGCAUUGUUUGCUCUAUGUUAGAUGCUGAUGCUGACCGCAGCAUGAUUGAAAUGGUGCAGUGUGAAUCUUGCCAAAGAUGGGCACAUUUUGCAUGUGCAAAAUAUAAAGAGAGCAACCAAGAAGAUAAAUGCAAAAAAUGUAAGGAAAAUACAUAACAACUUCAAAUAAAAACAGCUGUCUUUUCCCCUCCAUGUCUCUUUGUAUUCUUUGUCAACAUUAGAUGAUUGUGUGCUGGAGGCACGUUUUGAUACCUAAAUAAAUCCAAGCAGGAAGCAUGUUU